CCUACGGGGGGCAGCAGUGGGGAAUUUUGCGCAAUGGGGGAAACCCUGACGCAGCAACGCCGCGUGAGUGAUGAAGGCCUUCGGGUCGUAAAGCUCUGUCAGGGGGGAAGAAAUGUAGGGGUGCUAAUAUCGCCUUUACUUGACGGUACCCUCAAAGGAAGCACCGGCUAACUCCGUGCCAGCAGCCGCGGUAAUACGGAGGGUGCGAGCGGGGGUCGGAAUUAUGGGGCCUAAAGCGCGUGUCGGCGGUGAAAGCCCCGGGCUCACCCCGGGAAGUGCAUUGGAAACUGUCAGACUUGAAUACGGGAGAGGGUAGUGGAAUUCCUAGUGUAGGAGUGAAAUCCGUAGAUAUUAGGAGGAACACCGGUGGCGAAGGCGGCUACCUGGACCGAUAUUGACGCUGAGACGCGAAAGCGUGGGGAGCAAACAGGAUUAGAUACCCCAGUAGUC
rnacentral:rRNA from 1 species